CAACAAUAAAUCCAAUCCAUGGAUACUACUUUGAGAUUGUAGGGAACUGAAACUGAAUUGGAAUAAUUUGUCUCAAAUCGAUCUCCCAGCUGUGACUAUCACAGAGUAGUGGUGCUUAGUGAAUAAACAUAUAAUAAGGACAAAUAAAUGAAAUAGUUAUAAAGUUUAUUUUGCAGCAGAAGUACUUUGAGCAUGUCUAAUUUUUUGCUUUUGUGAUUAUCCACCCUUGCUACGUUUGUUAAACUUGAUAUUGACAGACAAUGUAGCGUCACUUCUAAUCUAUUAACAAAUCAGACUGGUUACAAGUUAUUUCGAUAGCUGAUAAUUGUUACAUAAAAGUAUGAAAGUUAACAUCUGAUAAUAGACAUUUAACGUUCAGUUCAGUCUUAAAGGAACAUUCCCACUACCAUACCUACUUAAUAUCAGACCAAAAUGUUGCAGUAUAUAGAAAUACACAUUACUCAAAAUUUUAAAUGAUUUCAGCCUGACUUCAGUGGGUAAAUCUUUAUUUGCAGAGAAGACAUUCCCAACAUUUCCAGCAUAUUUCCAAUCAAUGCUCUCUGUUGUUUGCAGGUGAAAAUGUAAGAGAGUUUUUCUUUAGAGUGGCAUCUUUGACAUUUGAAGCUAGUGUACUGGCCGAGCUGGAGAAGACAAAUGCCAGAAGGAUCGGUGAUGUUGUUAGUGAGUAUUUGGAAUAGUACAACUUAAUUAUUUAAUUUGAAAAUGUAAAAAUAAUGCAGAAAUUAUUAUUGGCAUUUAUAUAGUGCCAACGCAUUCUGCAACACUUUACAAUAAUUGCAGUUAGCUAAGCGGAGUAAUAGUCUGAAAAUAUUUCCAGUUUGAAUUUCCACUCCCCUUGUUGGUAUUUCACAAAUUCUGGUUCAGAAAUCCAGAGUUUUUCAAUGCAAUCUCUAAGGGACUUUCAACAACUGGGCAGCAUUUACAUUGAAGGGACAGGCUAUAGACACCAGAAGCACUACAUUAAGCUAUAGUUGUUCUGGUGACUGUAGUGUCCCUUAAGGUACAGCGCCUAGGACCUUUUCACACCAUAAUAACUUGCAUUAAGGACUGUUUAUACCUUUUGUUUUGUUUUUGCAAUUUCUUUUAGAGGUUAGGGCAAUUGGCAAUUGAGCAAAAGUUCCGUGUUGUAUGGUCACUUGUACUGCCACAAAUGUGUGUCUUCUAUAUUCUUGCGGUCAUGCAGGGUGUAACGCUGUAUGUUGUAUUUCAUUUUCAGAGAUAAACAGCAACGACAGCAACUUGUUUCAGACGACAAAGAAAGACAAGGCCAAGUGCUGCCAAUGACACUAUGCUGCCGACGAAAACUGACAUUUGCACUGAAAAGCUUGAAACCAAACGUUGUUUCACAGGCUUGAUAUACAGAAUGAACUUAAUGUCCCGGUGUUUGGCCCUGGUCUAAGAAAUGAAGCAGUACUUCAAUCAUUGUUUUUAAUAAUCCACCGUUAUCUGUGCUCACACGGGUAACUACAACAUUGAGCUGUACUUCUACUGCUCCUCCCUCCUCUGGCAACGGAGAAUUAAAUCUGUGUUCGAACUUAAACCUAAACCAAAAUGCCAGAGAGGAAUGUAGUCUCCAUAAAAGGUACACAAACACAUUACCCUGUUAAAAUAAAACCUUAUAGAGGGCAAAUGUGUUGAUCACAGAGCGGAUCUAUUUACACACACAUAUAUAUAUAUAUAUAUAUAUAUAUAUAUAUAAUUAUUUUUUUUAAAGUAGUGUUUUAUACCAAGGUAUAUUAUAUAUACAUUCUCAUUGUUUCAAAGACAUGUUAAGUGAUGCAAAUAGAGGAAGGUACCUCAAUGGAUAUAAAGAAUCCCACACGACCUCUACAAAAUAAGGCUUUUCAACUAUGUUUUUUGGGGGGUUUUACGUAAAGAUGUCCCUUCUUCCUAACCAAUCAAUUGAACUUAUCAAUACUUCUUUGUAGGGGCUCUUAGCAGGCAAACACGUAUAGGCAGUUGUCUUCCAUGCCAGGUAAAAAGCCCAGUUCUAUUCUGUAACCAUUAUUCGUGAAGGAAGCAGGUUUACCAGUGUGGUCUAUCAAAUAAAUAAAAACUGUAACUCAAUAAAUUAACCAUUCCAAUGAUCCAUCUGGAAGUAUGGUUGAAACCAUAUCUGGACCACUUUUCCUGUCAUUGGUAUCCUAGCUUCAUUUACAGGAGUACAUUCUAUUACCCCAUCUAAAAUCUCACUUUGGUACCCUGAGAUGUUGAAUGAGAUCAUAGAGUUAGAUCAUUUGCUUAAAUUAUCUGUAUUUAGUAGUCGUGAUCGUAAUAAGAUAUAUUUUACUGCAUAUAUGAUUCGUUGAUAAAUUACAAGUUUGUUUCUCUUUUGUGCUCCAAUAUUGUUUUAUAAACUUUUAUAAAAAAUGUUUUCGUCUAGUAUGUUAAUUUACUAAACCGUAAAUUGUAGUGAAUUGAAAACAAUUUCCAAACCUUAGACCAAAAUAUUCAAGUUUGAGAAUCCUCCAAUUUAGCUAGUCAAAACUUGGCAAUUGUAGAUUGAAAUUUCAAAUCCGUUUUUAAAUUUGUUACAAUUUGUUGAAACCCUUUUGCUUAUUUUUAAUCUUUGUGUAGUUUUUGUAGUACUUGGGAUGAUGCAAUAGACUUCUUCCAUCUAUUUAUAUAUUUUGGUAUUUGUAGUAUGCUUGAACUCUUUAAAAUUGGCUCCUAAAGGAGCAGAGAAACGCCGUACUGUAUUUUAUUCUGGUAUCCGGCUCCUUAUGGGACAUUUUAUAGCUUAUUAUAAAGGCUAUGAUACCAGGGAGCUAUAAGUGCAAUCAUUUAAACUAAUUUGACAAUAUUGUGUACCCUGGGAUCCAAAGCCAGACUAAAUAAGGAAAUCUACAUCACGUACGGUAUAAAGCAAUGGUUCCUAGCUUAGGUCGCUAAUUAAUACUUUUGGAUAAGCUUUUCAAAUAAUGUAAUAUUUUGAAUAAAACUUUAAAAAAAUCAUAUUAAAUCAUUUGAAAAAAAACAAACAAAAUUAUUAAAUCUAGACCUUAGACCUCAAAAACACCCAAUAGCCCAGGAAUUCACUAUUCCCUGUAAGGGUAGAAUUAUGUAUUUGUCUGAAUCCUGGACUAUUGGGUUUGGAAGAGGCUUGGAGUGUCCCUUUAAAAGUGAGUGUCAUGACAUGUCACUAAGUUAAUACUCUACUUUCAGCCUCAUAUUAAAAUGUUAUUACCAACAUGAAUAUGGACCCUUUAGUUUAGAUAACCAAACAGUGUCUGAUUGUGUGUAUUUCUCAGACACUUAAUUAAAUUUAAAGACUAAUGUGCUGUGGCUCCUUUGGCCCAGGCCCAGAUGGCAUACUGGUGUCUGGCUUAGGCUGAUAAGAAUUGAAGUCCCAAAAGGUGGGGUUGGGAGUUAUAGGUUUCCCAGCUCUGCUAUAAUGCAGUUUUAGGCCAGAAAUGUAUUUGGUAUUCUGCUGAAAGUUGUAGAAUAAUAUGAAUAAAUAUUUUUACAUUUUUCGUAACAAAUCCCGGUUUUCUGACUUUUUCACGUCUUGUGAUGCCUACCUUGCCUCCCAGCACUUUCAGUGGAUGUGUAACCAGAGGGAUGAUCAUAUUCACAGGAUUAACUUGAACCAUUGGGAAACCCCCCCCACAAAUGAAAAGAAAUCUUUGAAGAAAGCAGCAUUUUAUUUACAUAAAAGUAUUUUCUAAAAAUGUUUAGUAUACUUUUUUUAAUGUUGGCUAAUGUGACUGUCAUAUACGCUCAUGCAUACCACAAAUUAUACUUUCUUAGAAGAAAAACGGAAACCAUCUAAAACCGAAAAAAAACAAACAAAAAAAACCCAACAUUUCCUACUUCAGUUUUAUGGUUCCCAAUAAAUUAUUGGGAAUUCAAAUGUUGAGCCAAAAUGACCAAUUUGUAAAAUGUCCGCAAGUUAGCCAUGUUUUUAGUUCAGCUAUUGGGGCUUACAAUUUCAUAUCCAAUUUGAUUUUUAAAUCUGUUGCCUACUGAAAUUAUGGUUUCUAAUAGUCAAUUAGAACAUUGCUAGUUCAAACAUUAGUGCAAUGUGAGCAGGCAAUGUAUUUCAAAGAUUUGAUAUGUUACCUUGCUUGCUUAUUUAAGUCGGUCAAUAAAGUGAUUGUGGAU